GACACCGCAUUUCUGAAUGACUGAACAAAUGUCUACACAGCUGUGAAUCAUCUGCAACAUCGUCAUUGAAAUUUCCGCACAGUCCACAUACUUUGUUCUGUAAGUGAAAAUACAGAAUGUUUUGACUAAGAAAUCCCAUUGGGCUAUUCCCAAUCUGCAGUUGUAAAUCCGAGACAAAACCAAAAAUUAAACGCAAAUGAUAGAGACUGGACUCUCCACCAAUGACCAACUUAGAGAUGGAGGCCUGCAGAGCUUGUGUGGAAUUUUAGUGCCUUAAACAGGCCAUGUAGCCACUAUGCCAGGGCGAGUAGCCAGCCGGAGAGAGUUGUCAUUGAAUCUGUAUGAAGCACAUGGAUGUGAGAGGGCCACACAAGGUCAGCCCAGGAGGAGGAGGAGGAGGAGGACUGGAGUUCAGAUGCAGUGAGGAAUUCACCAGGAAAUAUGUGUUUUUAACUUAAUACAUGGAUUGUGAAAGGGUGAUUUAUGUAUGAAUUGAAUUAAAAAAUAGACGCUUCCACUUCUGAAAUGUGCUGCAUGAUUUGGGCAUAUAUUUAAAAAAAUCAUAACUUAAGUUGUCAGAUUAGCAACACUCUGGCCAUACCCAGCAGGUAACAGCACUUGUUCAGGACCAGAACUAUCUUGCUGCCUUAACCUGGAUUCAAGGACUUCUAAUCAAACCAGAAUUCACAGUGUUAAGAGGCAUUACGAACUUGGUGUUGCCUCGAAAAUACAAUGCAGGCUAUUCUAAAUUAAGGAGGUUUGGUUUACUUUUUUUCUGAGUGUUUAUUAUAUUAUUUAUUGCGUGGUAAAUGUGUCUUUUGAGGGUUAAAAAAAACAGUGAUUGUUUUGGAAGCAACAUGCUGCUAAAUUAAUUUUGGUGGUGAUAGGAUUGACCAAUUCUUAAGUGGUGAGAUUGCAUUCUUUUCCCAGAGUGAAACCUUUUCAUCUUUUAAAAUGUAGGGGAUUCUUUUUAACUUCAGGUGGUGACAAGACUUUGGCCCAGUUGUAUAGAUGCAAUGUGGUAAAAAAGUACAUGUGAUAAACUAGUAAAGAGUUUCUGUAACAUUUGCACCCAACUUGAUUACUCCACUGAUCUAUUCACAUCUAUUUCCUCACACCCAUGAUUACAUAGAUACAAAUUAAAUGGAUACAAACAAAGAGAUCAAAGUCAAAAUUAAAGAU